AGCUUCUAGUGAGCAUGCGCACAGCCCGCCGGCGAGGGUUUUGGUUUUUUUGUUUUAGGUCAUACGCAGAACACCCGAUAACUCCAACAGGGAAGAAAAUCAACAGAUGUACUGUAAUCCUUAAGAUGUCCAAGUUGCAAAGGAAGUGCUUGCAGUUUCUCAUAAACCUCAUUCAUCAAUAUCUGAAGAGAGGCCUGUAUGCUGACAGAAUGGGGGUGAGGUCUUGUAUUUACCUGAGGAGUGUACUGGAGUACGUUACUUUGGAGCUCUAGGAACUGGCUGGCAAUGCUUCUAUUGAAAUUAAAUGUAAAAAUGUAAAGGUGUCUAAGAUCAAGCCCAGCCCCAACCAGAUGGCAGUGGGCAAUGAUGAAGAGCUGAAGACACCAAGUGCAGCUGUCAUCACUGCAGAGGGAGGGGUCAUACCUAACUUCCUCUCUCAGCUGGUGUCCAAGACAAGCAAGAAUCUUAACUACUGCUUCUUCCUGAUGCUUACAGAUGGCCCCCAUGCAGGAGGACUGGAAGGUUGGAAGCUGAAUGAACAUGUCUACACCAGGCAAAAUGAUUAUCAAGAAAAAUUCAUCCUCCAAGAUAUCUCGGUCUUACAGGGCUGGCUUGCAGUUCCCAGUAGGCCGAAUCUAUAAGUAUUUAAAGGCUGGAAAUUAUGCUGAAAGAAUCAGUGCUGAAGCCCCUAUCUUUCUGGCUGCUGUGAUGGAAUAUUUGACAGCCGAAUUACUGGAGCUGUCUGGUAAUGUUGCUCAGGCAAACAAAAAAACCCGGAUCUCCCCUCGACAUAUCCAGCUAGCCCUUCACAAUGAUGAGGAACUUCACAAGCUCUUGGCUGGUACAACGAUCCCCGAAGGUGGGGUGAUGCCCUACAUUCAUUAUCAACUACUUUCCUGGAAGACUCCUCAAGAUCUACCAGAUGGGUGCGCGCUUCCAUCCAAAAGGUCUAGCUGUCUUCCAAAGAAAAAGAAAAGAGGGGGGAUCCCUGGAACUUUUAUAUCUUCAGACACAUAUUGCUUGCUCUAAGUAGUAUCAGUUUGUUUGGAAUGGUUGAUGAUAGGUGACAUUAGGUGACAAUUUGGGUUU